rnacentral:lncRNA from 1 species
CAAGGCUCUCUCAGUUCCCCUUUAGGGAUGAUUCCCAACCCCCAACCUCUAAAAAGCUUUUAUUCUCUGAUUCAGAGGCAGAGGCAAACACUUUCUGAGGUUGCUAAACCACUCUCCUGCCCUUUCAUACCUCCACACCCUGGCUAGGGAGGAAUGGAAAGAGGAAGACUUUUCAGAGCAGACAUCCAAAGUCAACAGAACUGUUGUCCAAAGUGAAUUGCAACCCCGUGUAGACAAAUUGCUGAGCAACUCAGGAAACGUCUUUGGACGUGGUAGCCCUGACUCUACCCUCUUUAAAAUACUCGGGGUUGGAAGGUAGGAACUCAGAACUCAGGAAAACGGUGGACUUGUGUGAGCCUCCGUGCUCAGAGCAGAGCCGAUAGUUCUGGACCCAGAAGGCAAGCAGGUGAGAAAUGGGAACAAGGCCAGAGGGAGGAAGACGCAGAACAUAGACUCCAAAUCAGU